rnacentral:rRNA from 1 species
UGGGAAUCUGCCUAUUAGUGGGGGAUAAGCUGGGGAAACCCAGUCUAAUACCGCAUACGCACUACGGUGGAAAGGGGCCCUCUCCUUGGAAGGUCUCGCUAAUAGAUGAGCCCGCGUCGGAUUAGCUAGUUGGUGGGGUAAAGGCCCACCAAGGCGACGAUCCGUAGCUGGUCUGAGAGGAUGAUCAGCCACACUGGGACUGAGACACGGCCCAGACUCCUACGGGAGGCAGCAGUAGGGAAUAUUGGACAAUGGAGGAAACUCUGAUCCAGCCAUGCCGCGUGUGUGAAGAAGGCCCUAGGGUUGUAAAGCACUUUCAGUAGGGAGGAAACGCCUACGGUUAAUACCCGUGGGCUAUGACGUUACCUACAGAAGAAGCACCGGCUAAUUUCGUGCCAGCAGCCGCGGUAAUACGAAAGGUGCAAGCGUUAAUCGGAAUUACUGGGCGUAAAGCGUAAGUAGGCGGUUGAUUAAGCAGGAUGUGAAAGCCCCGAGCUCAACUUGGGAACUGCAUCCUGAACUGGUCAACUAGAGUACAGCAGAGGAGAGUGGAAUUUCUCGUGUAGCGGUGAAAUGCGUAGAUAUGAGAAGGAACACCAGUGGCGAAGGCGACUCUCUGGGUUGAUACUGACGCUGAGGUACGAAAGCG